GACGAACGCUGGCGGCGUGCUUAACACAUGCAAGUCGAACGGAAAGGCCCUGCUUGCAGGGGACUCGAGUGGCGAACGGGGGAGUAACACGUGGGGGAUCUGCCCUGCACGUCGGGAUAAGCCUGGGAAACUGGGUCUAAUACCGGAUAGGAGCCAUUUUUAGUGUGAUGGUUGGAAAGUUUUUUCGGUGUAGGAUGAGCUCGCGGCCUAUCAGCUUGUUGGUGGGGUAAUGGCCUACCAAGGCGGCGACGGGUAGCCGGCCUGAGUGGGUGGACGGCCACAUUGGGACUGAGAUACGGCCCAGACUCCUACGGGAGGCAGCAGCGGCGAAUAUUGCACAAUGGGAGCGAGCCUGAUGCAGCGACGCCGCGUGCGGGAUGACGGUCUUCGGGUUGUAAUCUCCUUUCGCUAGGGACGAAGCUUUUUGUGACGGUACCUAGAUAAGAAGCCCCGGCUAACUACGUG
rnacentral:rRNA from 1 species